GUCAUCACGAUCGGAGAAACCACAGUUGUGUCAUCGCAGAAGAAGCUCGAGGAUUUGCAUGUCGGAUGCUCUGAAGUCUGUUCCGGAUUUGUUUGUCAAUAAGCAAGAAGAUCGCUUCCGGGGACCGGAAGAUUUGCUGAUGGUAUCUUUUAUUGCGCUCUGUCCAAAUCCAGUAGAUCGCUGCUUGAGUUGCUAGGAGCGUUAACCGGAGAGUGUCUCGAUUCACACGAAGUGUGAGCAGUUGAUGUAGUAUGCUUUCCCAAGUAAGCGAAGGCAUGAGAUCACAACGAGCCGCGAUUAGCCUCCACACAGAAGCGCUAUAACUACACUCAAAGAAAAGGACAACGAUCCAGCAAUACCAACCAAGUCAAGAAACUGUGUCGCGGUAUCCCAUAAGCACACCAGACAAUCGUAGCCCAAGGAACAGUCGGUUGGGGGCCUUUCAAGAUUGUGUAUAUUUCUCCAGUGCUAUAUCUCUGCCUCAGAUUACCAUCUACCACCCAUUCAUAGUAAUCCUCUGAAUCCGUCAGUGUUACAGUUGUCAAGUGUACCUGAAGAGUCAACUGGUAUUGUUAAUUGGAUAAGAACAUGAAAAGCAACAGAAGAAGUAGACAGAGCUCUGACCAGGUUGGGGAGGAGUAGAAACCUGCGGCGGUGAUGGUGAUGGAAGUGUGCUAGUGGCGGAUUCGUUGUAAAAUAGGUAAGGCUCGUAUCUUGAAUUACAGCUCGGCAAAAGAAUUCUUGCUCCAGUAUUUUCAGUGGGUAACUGACUGAUGGACGUUUCCAAGCAACGGGAACAGUCUUGUGUUGUAAGAUCAGGGGUGCACUGAACUAGUCCGUAUACUCUCUGAAACGCAGUAAAGUUGUCUUGUCUCGUACCAAAUUUUCUGGAACUAUUGGCAGCUUCGGCUGCGGCUUGGUUCAUCAAGGACAAAACAAAUUCUCGGAAGCUCUCUUGUUGGUUAGGUGGAAUAAUUCUCAGGCUGGACAAGAUAUAUCCUUCUGUCGUCUGAACGGUCGAGAGUAUAUCCCGGUUGGAGUAUCUUAACAUACAGUUAUCAUAGUAGAGUACGGCCUCACUCUGAUUUGGGCACACCGUUAAGGAUUCGUUGACGGAAAAGGAGACGCAGUCACGGCAAGCUUCAAGCGAGAGACCUCCAAGACAAAGGAAAAGUCCGGUGACCUUGUCUGGGUCUUGACCCACUGUUUCGUUUUCGAAUCCUGUGGAAUGUGAAGCAUUGCGGGAAGAGAGGAAAGACAAAAGAGUUGUGAGAUUGUUAUAGUAAGUGCUGUUCCUUGAAUAAGUUGUUGUAUUCGGACAAACAGAGUAUAAGAGGGAAGGAUUCUGAGCAGAAGCUCUAAAGCUUGAGAGGAAGAAAGAAAGGAAAAGGAUGAAGAAAGAGGCGCAAGAAGACAUUGUUCGGCUUCUAAGAUUUGGGUUUCUCAUAUCAUGGAGCUCCCAUUUAUACGUAUUUAUUUUUCUUCUGAUAAAUAACUUGAGAUAGAGGAUGGUUGUGGCAGACGACGAUACGUCAAUUCAAAGUAAACGACGGUCUUUGUUUCUAUUUCUAGGACCGUCACAUCUUAACCAUAAACAAAAUGAGUUGGAAAUAAUAAUUAGGGAAGUUAACUCAAAAAAUAUGGAUUUUAGAACUAUAAACCAUAUAAAACUUUUUUUUAUUAUUACAUUUUUUUAAUACCUAGCGUGACCUUUUGUUACGUUGUAAAAAAAUUGUAAUUACAAAAAUGCCAUUACUUUUUAAUGCUACGUAGGCAAAAAAUUCGACACCAU